UGCUACUUUCUUACUCUACUGUCGCAAAAGAAGGCAGAUAUUCUGUCACGACGUACGGAUAAACAUGAGACCACGUGACACAACCAGGAAGUGUGAGGAAAGCUGGUUCGCGGCUGGAGGAGGAGCCUCCAAACGUGUGUCCUUCGUAGACCGGAUAUGCUUCUUGCCUGGCGGAAGCAGACCCCGGAUUCAAACACAGCCUUCCUCAGCGGAACCAAAACGUGAGCAUCCUGUUUCACGUCGGACGUAAAUACAUGCCAUACAAUUGAACGCAACAGGGAGCUGGAGCAGCUGACAGCAAUGCUUGUUAUUUUCGCCAUUGGCAUGUAAUGUCACAUAAUUACACUUUUAUCUAUUUGAAGUUGGCAGUUUUUGUGCUAACAUGUUUACUAAAGCGUUUCGUGUUAAAUCAAACACCGUAAUGAAGACAUCAGACAGGAGAAAGCUCAAGGCUGACGUAUCGGCAGCCUUUCCUUCCCUGACUUCUGAUGACUUAACUCAGCUGAUCCCCAACAAAGAAGUAUUGAAUGUUGUGAAGAUUUAUGCUCACAAAGGAGAAUCUGUGGCAUUAUAUGUUCUUCAGAAAAAUCCGCUGUUCUUUGAAUUAGAGAAACAACUUUAUCCUACAGUCUAUAUGCUUUGGCGCUUCCCCAAUGUCCUCCCCACGUUCAGCACAUGGCCUCCUGUACUUGACAAGAUGAUCGGAGGAGCUGAUCUCAUGCUUCCAGGUGUGGUGGUGCCUUCUAACGGUCUCCCAGAAAUAAAAAAGGGGGACUGCUGUGCUGUUACAGUUGUCAAUAACAGAGCUCCAGUUGCAGUUGGCACAGCUGCAGUUUCCAGCGCAGAAAUGCUCAGUUUGGGCAUGAAAGGGAAAGGAGUAUGUGUUUUGCACACAUACAUGGAUCAUCUCUGGGCCUUUGGAGAAAAAUCCAAUCCCCCCACUAUACCAGAGAGUGAACAACCUGUUGUAUACGGUGAAGAAUAUCCGCCUGAUGAGCGAGAGGAGGAGGAAGAAGAAGAAGAGGAGGACGGCAAACAGAUUGUAGAGCAAAAGCAACAACAAAUCAAGUCGGAUGAAGAUCAAACCUGCUCUGAUGUGGCCAAGCUGAGCUUGGCCGAGCAGGAUGAAGAGGCGAGAGAAAAAACAAACGAGGAAGAGGAUGAUAACCCAGAUGAUCAGAAGUCACCACAAGAGGACAUGGACUCCCUGUUUCUACAGUGUUUCCUCUGUGCUCUCAAAAGCAAAGUGAAGAAAUCAGAGCUCCCUCUGCUGACAAGCACAUUUCUCCGCAACCACAUGUUUUCAUGCUGCCCGAGCGGAAAAAAACUAGAUAUUAAAAAAUCCAGUUAUAAAAAGCUGUCCAAGUUUCUGCAGGUCAUGCAGCAGCAGCACAGCCUGGUGCGGGUCAAAGAGCUGGCCAAGGGUGUGGACAGCAUUGUAGAGGUGGACUGGAAAAACCCAGAACUACGCUCCUUCUGUGUGCCUAAGGAGGCAGAGGUUGAAGAAAUUUCGCUACCGAGUGGAGGAGGAGAAACGAUGUAUCGUCCUCCUGAGAUCACCGUUUUAUACUCUGUGUCCACCCGACUGGAGCCUCUUUUUCAAGAUGCAAACAAAAGGAAAGGUGUGAUACUGCAGCCUGCUGAGGUGAGAAGUAUUGUCACCGACUAUGUGAAGAUGAAUGACUUGGUGGAUGAAAACAAUAAGAAUUAUGUGAGCAUCAACCCAACACUAUGUGACUGUUUGCUUGAAAAAUCUGAAUACCAGGAUAUAGUCUCUUUUAAGUGGGAUGACCUUUUCAGUAGGACGCUGGAGAGAAUGCAGCGGUGCUAUCAGAUAGUGUUUCCUGGACAGAAACCCGUCGUCAAGAAGGGCCACAUUGAGCCCAUAGACAUCACUGUUGUUUCUCGAGGCGGCAAUAAAAAGGUGACUCUAAUAAAGAACCUGGAAGUAUACGGUUUGGAUCCUCCCGCUGUGGCCACUGCAUUGCAGCACAAAGUUCAAGCCAGCUCUGUCCUGCAGCCUGUUCCUGGGUCUAAGAACAACGUCCUUGUCCAGAUUCAAGGCAAUCAGAUUCAACAAGUCGGCCGUUUGCUGCUCGAUCAUUAUCAAAUUCCUCGCAAGUACAUCCAAGGGUUAGACAAAGCUGCUAAAGGUGGAAAGAAGAAGUAGCAUAUCAUCGGUGUACCUUUUACUUUCUGCAUAGCUUACACAGCUGCUCUGCUAUAAUGAUCGUCACACAUCUUCUGGAAGACUGUUCCAGAUUUUGGCGGCAUUAAAACUGAAACCCUGCCUCACCCAGUCCUGACUCUGGGCACCCACAGGAGACCCGUGCCUGAAGUUCUCACAGCCCGAAAUGGUUUCUAUGGCUCAAUCAAGUUCAUUCUCUAAGCAACAGGAUGCCGGUGCAGAGACCUGAGUACUGGACUAAUAUGAUAUUUUCUGGUUCUAGUCAAGACUCGAGUAGUCUCCAGCAGUCUGCCGGCCUCUGUGACGCAUAGAUCUCGAGAGUCAUCUGGUGACGUAGGUCCGUGACACUGGCGUAGCGUGUCGUCUACAUAGUUGUGGUAGGCCCAUCUACAUUUACAGCAUCUCAAAAGUGAGUCAGGUAUUUUCUUACAUAAUCAGUUCCCAGUUCCACAUGUCCAAAAGGAGUAGGAAGAAGCAAAGCUUAUUAAAUCCUACCCCUCCAUCUGGUACUUUUACAAUCAGUAACAUACAGUUACAUUUGUUCACUUCCUGCUUUCCUAAUAUAGUUUAAGGUUUUUUUUACGUUUUUUUUUUGUAAUUUUUAAUUUUUUUUGUUGUCACGUACCGAAGUAAAAGGUGAUAUGACCAUACAUGGCUUUUUAACGUAGUCCUAGCAUAGAAGUGUUUCAAAUUUAGUUAUUCCCUGAGAUCAUAUUUCUCCUCUCUUGUAGAGAAGUAUUGGAUUACAUUUUUAGCUAAUUGGUUAUUUUUUAGCCUUAUACAUUAUUUUAGCUGUUUGAAGAUUAAUUAUAUCAGCGAGUUGAAGUAUUUGUGAUUUUAGUUGUAACCGUUAUCUGAGCCUUCUCGACAUGAAAUAACACCCAUAUAGUAAGUUAUCUUUAUAUUCCCUAUAUACCCUGCUAUAGGGAAUGAAGGAAACAAAAAUUCUAACAUGUACUGUGACAUUGUGAAGUACAGUAUCAUCACCUCCCUUGGUAAAAUGUGCCAAAUAGUAUUUUUCCAAUAUGAUAAUGAUCCCACACACACUCCCAUGUGAGCAAGUAUGUCUCCAGAGCUAAACCAGCUCACAUAUACAAGUCGACAAGUCUUUGUCGCCAUCUAUUGGCUACGGACUGAAACUGCAACGCCUUGACAGCUGUCCGAUUAGUAAAUUGUACCUACUCGAAGCAGGUAACAAUAAUAAUGCGACAUCAAGUGAUCAAAACGGGUCUGCACAGUUAAGUUACCAAGUAAAUUUAGAUAUAAACCAAAAUAGAGACGAGCUGAAGAAAACCAAAUAAAGUGGCGUUCAACUUCCCCGCUGAGCUCCUCCAUUGGGGCUGCCGGUUGCUGUCUUGGGAGAGGGCGGGCGCUGUGUGCGACUGGCCAAUCACAGAGCGAGAAGAGUGAAUACAUAAUGAGCAUUUUCUUUAAACACGAAUACGGAUAAUAACGAAAAUGUACUCGUUCCGUACUCCUAUCCGGCUCACCCCUACCAAUUAGACAAUGCCCAUUCAACAUUUAUGUUUAUUUAAGCUGUUUUAAGGGCAAAUAGUUCCAACACGCAGCUUUAAGUGAAGUCAGUCUUCGGCCAGGCAAUGUCAUCAUGCUGAGAGGAUUUGACUGCUAAAAAGGAUUACACCAUUUGACAUCCUGAUCGAAACUGCUUAACCACUUUGAUUAGAGACCAAAAAUAUAAUAUCAUAUUUUCAGCAUUUUUACACUGUGAUUAUGUUACCACAGAACAUAUUGGAGAAGAUCUGAGACACAGUGAUAAACUACUACAUAACUUGUUAAAACAGGGGUCUCAAACUCAAUUUACUUGGGGGCCACUGGAGCUAGGGUCUGGGUGAGACUGGGCCAGGUUUUCCAAAAAAAAAAAAACGCAUUUAUUAAAAACAGAAAAAUAUACAAACUUUUUCAGUGCUUUGGUUCCGAUUUUCUACAAUAAAAGCA